GAGAGGAGGAGGAGGAGUCAAAGGAUGAAGAGAUCUGUCUAUGUUCAGUUAAAAAGGAGGAAGAGGAGUUUAGGACUCCGGAGAUGAAGAGGAGGAGGAGGACGGAGGGAUUCUCUGCAGAAAUGAUGAAGACGGAAGAGGAGAGCGCGUGAAAAAAGAAAAAGUUUAUAAAAUAAAAGCUAGGAUUAAACAGAAGAGAAAAAGAUCGGUUUUACUCUGUGAAGAUUUAUCAGGUCAUGAGGAUGACGGCGCUCCAGGAUCAGUGUGGGCGGAGCUGGCCUCUCUUCUGCCCGACGGUCCGAUGCUCCGCCUUCGCCUGCAGCUGUCCCGCCUUCACACCGGGAAGUGUCCAGAUCCGGUCAUGUGACCUCUGCGGUCACGGAUGGGUCGCACAC